rnacentral:pre_miRNA from 1 species
AAAGUACUCCCUCCGUCCCAAAAUUCUUGUCUUAGAUUUGUCUAGAUACGGAUGUAUCAAGUCACAUUUUAGUAUUAGAUACAUCCGUNGAUACGGAUGUAUCAAGUCACAUUUUAGUAUUAGAUACAUCCGUAUCUAGACAAAUCUAAGACAAGAAAUUUGGGACAGAGGGAGUAGUUG